GACGAACGCUGGCGGCGUGCCUAAUACAUGCAAGUCGAACGCAGUGGGGACGGGUGAGUAACACGUGGGUAAGCUCCCAUCAUAGGGGAGAACACUUGGAAACAGGUGCUAAACAUACGCUGGUGGAUGGACCCGCGGUGCAUGAGCUAGUUGGUGAGGUAACGGCUCACCAAGGCCACGAUGCAUAGCCGAGCUGAGAGGGUGAUCGGCCACACUGGGACUGAGACACGGCCCAGACUCCUACGGGAGGCAGCAGUAGGGAAUCUUCGACAAUGGACGAAAGUCUGACCGAGCAACGCCGCGUGAGUGAAGAAGGUUUUCGGAUCGUAAAGCUCUGUUGUUAGAGAAGCGGUAUCUAACCAGAAAGCCACGGCUAACUACGUGCCAGCAGCCGCGGUAAUAC
rnacentral:rRNA from 1 species